rnacentral:rRNA from 1 species
AACGAACGCUGGCGGCGUGCUUAACACAUGCAAGUCGAACGCGAAAGGGACUUCGGUCCUGAGUAAAGUGGCGCACGGGUGAGUAACGCGUAGAUAACCUGUCUUCGAGUCUGGAAUAAUACACCGAAAGGGGUACUAAUACCGGAUAUUCUUUCACUUCAUAAGGAGUGCAAGCAAAAGGUGGCCUCUGUAUAUGCUACUGCUUGAAGAGGGGUCUGCGUACCAUUAGCUAGUAGGUAGGUAAAGGCCUACCAAGGCAAUGACGGGUAGGGGCGUGAGAGCGUGACCCCCCACACUGGUACUGACACACGGACCAGAUGCCUACGGGUAGCAGCAGCUAGGAAUAUUGGGCAAUGGGCGAAAGCCUGACCCAGCAACACCGCGUGAAGGACGACGGCCUUCGGGUUGUAAACUUCUUUUCGAGGGAAUGAGAAAGGACAGUACCCUCGGAAUAAGGCCCGGCUAACUACGUAGCCAGCAGCCGCGGUAAGCUAGUCUACG